rnacentral:sRNA from 1 species
UCUAUUUAAUUAUGCACUUCCAGAACACCAAAUGUGUGUACGCCUCUGAGAUCAUCGCGGGAAUCGAUUACAAAUCAUGAGACAAAGUGUUCCUGUGUGAUGAUAUUUACAGGCAUCUCAUUUCUAACACUACACUGAUUCUUUGUAACUCAUCACAGGUGAAUCACAUCAACAACAUGAUAGCCCGAAGCUUGUUACUUUUGCUUCUUUACCUUAUGCUUUUGGCUUGUUGUACCGAUGGGUGUCCAACGAAAACAGGGGAAAAAUAUGAAGCUCUAUUUUUAGACAAGAUAAUGAAGGCUUGGAAACUUGAUAGCCAAUUACGACAACACAUACUUGACGACUCUAGAUAUAUAAAUCUGAGAAGAAAAGUGUAUCAUGCUCUAAAGUUUGUUUUGAUGCCAAGGAUGU